rnacentral:rRNA from 1 species
AGCGAACGCUGGCGGCAGGCCUAACACAUGCAAGUCGAACGAACCUUUCGGGGUUAGUGGCGGACGGGGGGGUAACACGUGGGAACGUGCCUUUAAGUUUGGAAGAACGCAGGGAAACUUGUGCGAAUACCGGAUGUGCUCUUCGGGGGGAAGAUUGAUCGCAUUUAGGGCGGCCCGCGUCUGAUUAGCUAGUUGGGUGAGGUGAUGGGUCACCAAGGCGACGGUGAGUAGAUGGUCUGAGAGGAUGAUCAGCCACAUUGGGACUGAGACACGGCCCAAACUCCUACGGGAUGCAGCAGUGGGGAAUCUUGCGCAAUGGGCGAAAGCAUGACGCAGCCAUGCCGCGUGAAUGAUGAAGGUCUUAGGAUUGUAAAAUUCUUUCACCGGGGACGAUAAUGACGGUACCCGGAGAAGAAGCCCCGGCUAACUUCGUG